rfam:Capnocytophaga ochracea DSM 7271, complete genome.
GGGGUCGACCGGUUUUGACAGUAAGUGGCAUUAAAUAGUAAGCAUACCGAGCUGUGAAAUGAAUGCUCGAUAAUCUCUAUUUCAAAAUUUUAAAUGGCGAGAAUAACUACGCUCUUGCUGCCUAAUCUGAAGUUUAGUAAGAUUGCUGGCUAAGUCCCUACAAGGUAGGGAAGCGAGAUGUCUCUGAAAAGCCCUUGUUGACGGCGUUUCGUACAGAGGCACCAUAAAAGUCAACAUUGAACCUGCGGUACGCUUCUGCUAACGGUUCUUAAGCAAAGGAAGCUAAGCGCAAAAUGGGCGGUGCUCGGUCAGUUUUGCGACGAAAAUCAAACGAGGACUAAGUAUGUAGAAAGCUUUUUGAUGACUUAUUUGGACGAGAGUUCGAUUCUCUCCGACUCCACAU